CAUUAACUAAAUAUAAGUCCGAGUUCUAAAACAACAAAAAAAAAUGGGGACAUGACAGAAAACAGAGAAAGUCUACUGAAAGCAAGCACUGAAGGGAAAGAGAAGAUCAACACAUAAGGUUUUCCUACAUUUAAUGUUACCUGCAGUCAAUCACCCGGCCUUGAUGGUAAAAGGAAGUUGGAAUGAUCUCACCCUGAAGUUGACCAAUACGUGGAGCUCGAGUAAGGACUGGAACCUCAACAAGAAAAAGCCUUUCAUAACUAAAUAUUAAUCUGAUUGACAAGAAACCUGCCUCCCAAGACAACCUCUGAUACUUGCUCUGUUCCAUUAUAAAACAUUGAAGAAAUAAUUACACUUUCUAAGUUACUAACCUUUGUUGGCCUGUUGAAAAGACAGGCUCCACCCCCUCUCUGUAAAAAGUCUCUGUACUCCAAAAUGCUGCAUUUUGAGAACUUUCGGGAAUGGGAAACCCUAAAGAAACAAAGAAUCAAUUAUGUAGCUAAUUUACCAAAAGCAGUCAUCAGAGAAGAAAAUGAAAACCCUUGAACUAGAGCAAAAUGUUUGCUCUAGAUCUAAAUGAAUCUACACAAAUUACUAUAAAGCACUUAGGUUCAAAAUGCAAAAACAAAUACAUGUGGUAGAGCUUUAUAAAAAUAGACAUUCAAAGAAAAUCACAGAUAUGGGUGAUAUGUUAUAUCCUUCUCAGCAGUCAAGCACUUUUGUGCACCUAGUUUGAAGCAGUUUAUGAAAAGCUCAUCAUAAACCUCGUCUAGGCUGUAUUUUAAAAUGUGGUCAUUUUUGUUUGCCAUGUCUCAGUAAAAGCAGCACUUUUGUGUCUCUGCCCUGAAUCAAAGGAGCUCGUGAACCUACUAGAUUUUAUCUUGGAAGAGGGAGUCAUGGGAGGCAAUUUAUUAAAGACUAUAUAAUGCAAGCUCCAACAACAAGAUUCAGAUAAAUAAGGAAGCCCUAAAGAGAUA